rnacentral:rRNA from 1 species
UAUGCACGCUGGCGGCGUGCCUAAUACAUGCAAGUCGAGCGAACAGACGAGGAGCUUGCUCCUCUGACGUUAGCGGCGGACGGGUGAGUAACACGUGGAUAACCUACCUAUAAGACUGGGAUAACUUCGGGAAACCGGAGCUAAUACCGGAUAAUAUAUUGAACCGCAUGGUUCAAUAGUGAAAGACGGUUUUGCUGUCACUUAUAGAUGGAUCCGCGCCGCAUUAGCUAGUUGGUAAGGUAACGGCUUACCAAGGCAACGAUGCGUAGCCGACCUGCGAGGGUGAUCGGCCCCCCGGGAGCGGAAACACGGUCCCGGCGCCUACGGGAGGCCGCAGUAGGGAAUCUUCCGCAAUGGGCGGAAGCUUGACGGAGCAACGCCGCGUGAGUGAUGAAGGUCUUCGGAGCGUAAAACUCUGUUAUGAUGGAAAAACAAAUGUGUAAGUAACUAUGCACGUCUUGACGGUACCUAAUCAGAAAGCCACGGCUAACUACGUG